rnacentral:rRNA from 1 species
CGACCGGCGCACGGGUGAGUAACACGUAUGCAACCUGGCCGUCACAGGUGGAUAACCGGAAGAAAUUCCGACUAAUACAGCAUAACACUCCUGAGGGACAUCCCUUGGGAGUCAAAGGAGGCAACUCCGGUGACGGAUGGGCAUGCGGCGCAUUAGGUAGUUGGUAGGGUAACGGCCUACCGAGCCGACGAUGCGUAGGGGUUCUGAGAGGAAGGUCCCCCACAUUGGAACUGAGACACGGUCCAAACUCCUACGGAAGGCAGCAG